ACUUUAUAUAUUAUCUUGGUAUUUGUUAAAUUGUUAUUGAAUAUAAAUACAUUUGCUCUAACCUAUUAUUUUUAUUUUCAAAAUCACUGAUUGAAAAAAUAUUUUCUAAGCUCUCUAAGCUUCCAUUAGACUCAUUUACAAAAGAUGAUUAAUUGGUUAGAUCAAGCGAAUGUUGGAGAAGAAUUGCUUUCAACUCAAAAAUUACAAGCACAUUUUUCAGGCAUUUGAUAGAAAUACAAAAUGAGUGUUUAAUUAAAAAUAUUUGUGAUAAUGAUGAACAAUUAGCUAGGAAUGAGACUAUUGUCUACAGCUUGGAUCAUCCAUAAGAUGAUUAUAGAUCACAGUCUCAACAAGUUUAUAUUUUUUCUAAAUUACCACCAUCUGUAUUUGUGCCAUUCAAAAUGAGAAAUCAAAUUAAAUGAAGGUAAGAGUUUUGGUUGAACUUGUAGAGUCAAAGAGUAACGUUGAGGAAUAUAGUCAUGCUACUAUGCUGGAGUAUCAGUGGAUGAAAAUAUACAAAAUUAUUGUGGCAGAUAUCUGAUCUUUCAGAAAAAGAAAGCCAAACAUAUCAGUCACCUACUACUAAUAGAUCACGAAUACUUCUCCAAAAAUGUAAGUCUACAACAUUUGUAACCCUUAUUAGAUCACAUGAUUAAAGCUUUUUCUUUGAAAUUGGUGAAUUAUGUUGCAACACUUGAUCCCAAUAAAGAUUUGGACUUUUUUCGAAAUUGUGGUUGGGAACCUUAUUACAUGUAAGAAUCUUCAUCUCAUUGUUCAAAAAAUAAUAGUAUCCAUGUCUAACACUAGUCCAAUAAAUUUAGCUAAAAUUUCUCUUUCAAUUAGGAAAAAACAAUGAAUUUAAAAUUUAAGUUAUGCAAAAUUAACCUUAAG
rnacentral:sRNA from 1 species